rnacentral:rRNA from 1 species
UCUCCUGGAAACGGGUGGUAAUGCCGGAUGCUCCAGUUGAUCGCAUGGUCUUCUGGGAAAGCCUUUGCGGCAUGGGAUGGGGUCGCGUCCUAUCAGCUUGAUGGCGGGGUAACGGCCCACCAUGGCUUCGACGGGUAGCCGGCCUGAGAGGGCGACCGGCCACAUUGGGACUGAGAUACGGCCCAGACUCCUACGGGAGGCAGCAGUGGGGAAUAUUGCACAAUGGGCGCAAGCCUGAUGCAGCGACGCCGCGUGAGGGAUGGAGGCCUUCGGGUUGUAAACCUCUUUUGUUAGGGAGCAAGGCAUUUUGUGUUGAGUGUACCUUUCGAAUAAGCACCGGCUAACUACGUGCCAGCAGCCGCGGUAAUACGUAGGGUGCAAGCGUUAUCCGGAAUUAUUGGGCGUAAAGGGCUCGUAGGCGGUUCGUCGCGUCCGGUGUGAAAGUCCAUCGCUUAACGGUGGAUCCGCGCCGGGUACGGGCGGGCUUGAGUGCGGUAGGGGAGACUGGAAUUCCCGGUGUAACGGUGGAAUGUGUAGAUAUCGG